rfam:Listeria monocytogenes EGD-e, complete genome
CUUCCAGUCCACCAAACAUAUCACAUUUUUGGCAAAGGGAGCGAUAUUUGGGAUUGGAGCGAAUAAGUUGGCAAAAAGGAGUAAAGUUACAUAAUCUAGAAACUUCGGUACCGUGUAUAUCUACAACAACUGAGGCUAAACUGGUUGCGGCUGAGAACUCAUCCAUCACUUUUUCAAUGAGCAUUUCGUUGCUUUUGGACUGUAGUAACAUAGCUAUUCCCCUUUCGGCGAGACUUGGCGUGUUUCUGUCGUUCUUAGUAUAGCAUAUUUAUAAUGCGCUUACAUUUUCUUGCCAUGAAGAUAACAAUAUAUUGCUAAGAGUAAUUUCAUAAGAGAAUGCCCAAACCAUGCAUUACUGGAUGGCUUUUUGUCAUUAUUUUUUUUGAAGGCGCAAAAUUGUGUUAAAACACGAUUCGCGUCUUCUUUUUU